rnacentral:rRNA from 1 species
GACGAACGCUGGCGGCGUGCCUAAUACAUGCAAGUCGAGCGAAGCGGCGGAUGGGUGAGUAACGCGUGGGUAACCUGCCCUUAAGUCUGGGGUACAAUUUGGAAACAUAUGCUGAUACCGGAUACUAUUGGAUGGACCAGCGAUGAAUUAGCUAGUUGGUAAGGUAACGGCUUACCAAGGCGAUGAUGCAUAGCCGAGUUGAGAGACUGAUCGGCCACACUGGGACUGAGACACGGCCCAAACUCCUACGGGAGGCAGCAGUAGGGAAUCUUCCACAAUGGACGAAAGUCUGAUGGAGCAACGCCGCGUGAGUGAAGAAGGUUUUCGGAUCGUAAAGCUCUGUUGUUGGUGAAGCGGUAAUCAACCAGAAAGUCACGGCUAACUACGUGCCAGCAGCCGCGGUAAUUC